GGAGACGUGGGAGAGUGGUUUAAUCCAGCGGUCUUGAAAACCGCCGAAGGGCGACCUUCCGUGAGUUCGAAUCUCACCGUCUCCGCCA
rnacentral:tRNA from 1 species